AAAACCUUUUCGGCCGAAUGUGCACUCGUUUCAUUCACAAAAGUCUUGAUAAUUUUUGGGUCACCGCAUAUAAAAUUCAAGUUAAAUAACUGAAAAUUGAUUAAAGAAGAAGAGCAUCAAUUACACUUUCCGAGAAAUUCAACUUAUCGGUCGAAUGUUUCUUUUAAACGCGAUUUCAGAAAAAAUGCGUCACAUAACUUUUGUCACAUGUGCGGUGUUUGAGUGCACGUUCUUUGUACACGAUGUGCGUUGAUCACGCGACCACCUCCC